rnacentral:rRNA from 1 species
AGUGAACGCUGGCGGUAGGCCUAACACAUGCAAGUCGAACGGCAGCACAGUAAGAGCUUGCUCUUACGGGUGGCGAGUGGCGGGCGGGUGCGGAGUACAUCGGAAUCUACUUUUUCGUGGGGGAUAACGUAGGGACACUUACGCUAAUACCGCAUACGGCCUACGGGUGAAAGCAGGGGAUCUUCGGACCUUGCGCGAUUGAAUGAGCCGAUGUCGGAUUAGCUAGUUGGCGGGGUAAAGGCCCACCAAGGCGACGAUCCGUAGCUGGUCUGAGAGGAUGAUCAGCCACACUGGAACUGAGACACGGUCCAGACUCCUACGGGAGGCAGCAGUGGGGAAUAUUGGACAAUGGGCGCAAGCCUGAUCCAGCCAUACCGCGUGUGUGAAGAAGGCCUUCGGGUUGUAAAGCCCUUUUGUUGGGAAAGAAAAGCAGCAGGUUAAUACCCCGCUGUUCUGACGGUACCCAAAGAAUAAGCACCGGCUAACUUCGUG